rnacentral:lncRNA from 1 species
UCGAUUCUCUUUAUUAGCUAUCAGCGACCAAACAUGGAUCAAUAGCCAUUGAGGGUAGGACUCUACCUAUUUUACACUGUUAUUUCGUUUGUGAAAACUCCCUAUUAUUGGCAAUUGCAAUUUCAUUCAGUUUCAACAACUAUGCUUGCAGCUCAAAGUAUCCAAUUGGGUAUAUCAAUGAUGUUGCUGUGGCUAAAAAUGAAAGUCUCUUUGUCGGAUCUAUUCUUCAUCACACUGUUGGAACAAAACAAAAAUACCGGAUGCAACAUUCAAUAAAGUUGUGACGCUUGUUUGCUUAUGGAGCUAUUGCAAGAUCAAGAAGAUUACUUUGAGCGGACUGCUGAUAGGAACACUCCUUAUAGAUUUAUAGAUUAGCUUUGUUGUGUCAUUACAAACUUAUAUGAGC